CAGCGCCACAAGUGGCAAUCAUUUUUAUUUGGCCUAAAGCGUCCGUAGCUGGUUAAGUAAAUCUCUUGUGAAAUCGUUUCGCUUAACGAAACGGCGUGCAGGAGAGACUGCUUAGCUAGAGACCGGGAGGAGUCAGAGGUAUGCUGGGGGGAGCGGUAAAAUGCAAUAAUCCUCGGUAGACCACCUGUGGCGAAGGCGUCUGACUAGAACGGGUCCGACAGUGAGGGACGAAAGCCAGGGGAGCAAACCGGAUUAGAGACCCGAGUAGUCC
rnacentral:rRNA from 1 species